UACGGGGGGAGCAAGCGUUGUUCGGAUUUACUGGGCGUAAAGGGCGCGUAGGCGGUCAGCACAAGUCAGUUGUGAAAUCUCCGGGCUUAACUCGGAAAGGUCAACUGAUACUGUGCGACUAGAGUGCAGAAGGGGCAACUGGAAUUCUCGGUGUAGCGGUGAAAUGCGUAGAUAUCCGGAGGAACACCAGUGGCGAAGGCGACUUUCUGGCCUGUUCUUGACGCUGAGGCGCGAAAGCUAGGGGAGCAAACGGG
rnacentral:rRNA from 1 species